AACGAACGCUGGCGGCAUGCCUAACACAUGCAAGUCGAACGAGACCUUCGGGUCUAGUGGCGCACGGUUGCGUAACGCGUGGGUACCUGCCCUUAGGUUCAGAAUAACUCCCCGAAAGGGGUGCUAAUACUGGAUUAUGUCUCCGGCCCAAAGAUUUAUCGCCUUUGGAUGGGCGCGCUUUGGAUUACCUAUUUGGUAGGGUAACAGCCUACCAAGGCGACGCUCCAUAGCUGGUAUGAGAGGAGGAUCAGCCACACUGGGACUGAGACACGGCCCAGACUACUACGAGAGGCAGCAGUGGGGUAUUAAGGACUAUGGCAGAAAGCCUGAGCGAGCAAGGCCGGGUGAGUGAUGAAGGUAUUAGGGUUGUAAAGCGCUUGUACCCGGGAGGAGAAUGACAGUACAAUAAGAAUAAGCUCCAGCUAACUCCGUG
rnacentral:rRNA from 1 species